AGGCUUUGAGGAUCAGGAGGAUUAGCACUGUUUUCCCGUGACAGGUUUACGAUUAAACUACAGGCUUUGCCUAUUCAGGUUGAUCAGUUGGUGCAGACGAGGCUGAGUUGAGGCUAAGUACCACGAUGUCUUUUGCUUCCGCUAAUGACUAGCUUAUCAUCUCGUCUUUUAAAUUCUCUAAAUUUAGAAUUUCUAUUAUGUGGUACAAUAUUAUCUUGUUGGGCUUAAACUCUUAUCCUAUAUUUCUAUUAAUAAAGCUAUCUUUGAUUAUGGUCAGAGUCAUGAAACUAAACUUAUGUGAUCCUGAGUUUGAAUAUUGUCAUUUGAUUGGCAGCUCUUAAGGCCUUUCAAUUUACCUCCUUUUAUUUUUGUCUCUUUGGAAUAUGAAUACCCAAUUUAAUGGGUAGAUUGUCAAGUUUAUUCUGGUUGAUUAAGACUUUCCAUUAUUUUUCCUAUUUCCUCUUGCCUUCGGAAGUCGGGCUGUUACAAGUGGUAUCAGAGCGUAAGUUUUCUUUCGUGUCUCUAACUACCGCUAGUUUAACUAUUUCUAGUCUAGAAUUGUACCUCUAGACUACUAAGCAAUUCUGCAACCCUCAGCUCACCGUCUCACUGCCUGAUCAACAAAGGUACGUUUUCAAAUAAAUGAUUUUGCUUCAAGAAAGUGCGCGCAAAUGAUUACCUUGUGAAAUACUUGAAUGAUUCCACAUAUGCAAGGAGAUAUUGUUUAUGCAAAGAAAGAAAAGUGUGAUUUCUGGACCAACGAGUCCUUACAAGAAGCAAAGUAUGUAAUCAUGAUGGGACUCUCCGAGUCCACGUGAUCUAUUUUCAGAAGAAGUAUAUUAUGAUGAGUCUCUUUGAGCUCACAUAAGCAU